rnacentral:rRNA from 1 species
CCGAGUUUACAACUCCCAAACCCAAUGUGAACGUUACCAAACUGUUGCCUCGGCGGGAUCUCUGCCCCGGGUGCGUCGCAGCCCCGGACCAAGGCGCCCGCCGGAGGACCAACCAAAACUCUUAUUGUAUACCCCCUCGCGGGUUUUUUACUAUCUGAGCCAUCUCGGCGCCCCUCGUGGGCGUUUCGAAAAUGAAUCAAAACUUUCAACAACGGAUCUCUUGGUUCUGGCAUCGAUGAAGAACGCAGCGAAAUGCGAUAAGUAAUGUGAAUUGCAGAAUUCAGUGAAUCAUCGAAUCUUUGAACGCACAUUGCGCCCGCCAGUAUUCUGGCGGGCAUGCCUGUCCGAGCGUCAUUUCAACCCUCGAACCCCUCCGGGGGGUCGGCGUUGGGGAUCGGCCCUUUACGGGGCCGGCCCCGAAAUACAGUGGCGGUCUCGCCGCAGCCUCUCCUGCGCAGUAGUUUGCACACUCGCAUCGGGAGCGCGGCGCGUCCACAGCCGUUAAACACCCCAAACUUCUGAAAUGUUGACCUCGGAUCAGGUAGGAAUACCCGCUGAACUUAAGCAUAUAA